CACAACACUGGCUGAAAGUAUUUUUUGCAGUGUUCUGUUGUCGUCAAUUUUGUUUUUGUUGAUAAAAAAAUAAGAUAACAGUCGAUUAUUAACAAUAAUGUGAUUAAAUAAGUGGAACUUUGACGUUAAUAUAUUCCUUGUAAUUGUAAAUUCAUUCAGUCAUUUAGUUGUUCGAUUACGAAAUAGUCGUGCUGUAAAUUGCAUUUAAUAUUUUCAAGGACUAAGCUAAGGAAUAAAGAAUAUAAACAAGUUUUUAAAAUAUUAUUACGUGAUUAUCGCCUUACUUAUUUUUGGAGGGAAAUAAUAUUUUUACUUUUUAAACAUGGAUGUUAAGACAACGAAAAGUGUGAAAGUAAUUCCUAAACAAGUGUUUGCUGAGUUGCCACAGACUUAUACGCUAUCUCCAGAACAACAUAAAUUCUACCAUGACAAUGGAUAUCUGGUCAUAAAAAAACUGAUAGAUUUCGCAUCCCUGUAUAGUUAUAAGCAGCGCUUCAUCCAAAUAAGCAAAGGUGUAGUGGACAGAGGGAACAUCACGGUUGUCAAGGAACCCUCUUUGUUUGCCAAGGGACUGAAGGGCGAAGACCUAAUUAAUAAACUACAAGACAUCCUAUUCGACGAUGUUUUCGCCCAGUACAUAGAGAAUCCUGCCUUACUUCACGUCGUGUGCCAACUGGUGGGGGCAGACACACAAUACAACUUACCUCCCGGGGUAAAGAGUGAUCUGAAGUAUGGCGACAACAUCAGGGCGAUGCAUAGCAUGUUCAUCAACAAGCCUCCGGGCACCGGCCGCCAUCCGCCGCAUCAGGAUCUGUACUACUUCCCGUUCCGGCCCGCGCAUAAGAUCGUAGCGUCGUGGACGGCCGUGGACGCCGUGACCCGGGACAACGGGUGCUUGUACGUGGUGCCGGGCUCGCACCACCAGGGGCUUAUACACGCCCACGGCAACCUGGAGGACUCGAACAAGUUGUACCACGGCAUCAUAUCUGAGCUGGUGGUGGCUCCGGUCCAGUCCCGGAUACACCUGGAAAUGUCGCCCGGGGAUACUGUCUUCUUCCACCCCCUGCUGGUGCAUGGCUCCGGGCCCAAUGUUACUAAGAACUACCGCAAGUCGAUUUCGUGUCACUACGCGAACAGCGAGUGCCACUACGUGGACGUGGCUGGCUCCGUGCAGCAACACAUCGCUGAUGAAAUAGAAGCUGAAGCAAGGAGGAGGGGCUUCCAUAUCAACUUCCAGGAUUCCUUCCGCUACAGAAGCAAGCAAGUCAUGGGAGUGAAGUCAAACUUGUAAGCACUCAUCAUCCCCCUAGCAUUAUCCCGUUUCACUCAGGGUCCGUUUACUUAACCUGUAGAUAUGACAGGUCCGGUUUUUUACGAGAAAGCGACUGCCUGUCUGACCUUCCAACCCGCGAA
rnacentral:misc_RNA from 1 species